rnacentral:rRNA from 1 species
GACGAACGCUGGCGGCGUGCUUAACACAUGCAAGUCGAACGGAAAGGCCCUGCUGUUGUGGGGUGCUCGAGUGGCGAACGGGUGAGUAACACGUGUGUACCCUGCACUUGACUUUGGGAUAACUUCAUGAAACUGGGGCUAAUACCGGAUAGGAGCUCCGGCUGCAUGGUGGGGGUUGGAAAGUUUCGGCGGUUGGGGAUGGACUCGCGGCUUAUCAGCUUGUUGGUGGGGUAGUGGCUUACCAAGGCUUUGACGGGUAGCCGGCCUGCGAGGGUGACCGGCCACAUUGGGACUGAGAUACGGCCCAGCCUCCUACGGGAGGCAGCAGUGGGGAAUAUUGCCCAAUGGGCGGAAGCCUGAUGCAGCCACGCCGCGUGCGGGAUGACGGCCUUCGGGUUGUAAACCGCUUUCGCCUGUGACGAAGAGUGAGUGACGGUAAUGGGUAAAGAAGCACCGGCUAACUACGUG